UGUCGUCUGCAGUCGAGCACUCGUGCAGCCCGCAGCUCUUAAAAAGUGAGGUAAGGUUUUCAGAGAAACGGUGACGCAGGUGGAGAGGGCAGGUCGUCGCUCGUGACGUGCGGCCGGGUAGCCGUCGGGCGCUUGCCUCGGUGAAACGUAGGUGCUGGGGCUGAUCAUCCAUCGUACAUCCCAGGCAUGCCGGAGGACACCCUCUCAAUGGACCCGGACCGGACGACUGUUGAGGAGAGUGCAGAAAGUGAAGAGUCCGAAAUGGAGUGACUUCGGUUAUUGAAGUUUCUGCCUAUUAAGUGUCUCUUUUUAUUGUACCUGAUAAAUGUAAAUAAAUGUAUGUAUUUCCAUUUUUAA